GCUCGGGGCUCGGCUCACGUGCGCAGGGCGGCUGGAGCCGGCGCCGCCCGCUUCCCCGCCCGCCAUGGAGCGGCUGACGUUACCUCCGGGCGGCGCGGCGGCAGUGGACGAGUACUUGGAGUACCGGAGAAUUGUUGGUGAGGAUGAUGGAGGGAAACUUUUUACUCCUGAGGAAUAUGAAGACUACAAAAGAAAAGUCUUACCUAUGCGUUUACAGAACAGAUUGUAUGUGAGUUGGCGAUCACCCACGGGAAUGGAUUGUAAACUUGUGGGUCCAGAGACACUGUGUUUUUGUACACAUAGGUAUAAGCAACAUAAAACCGACUUUGAAACGAUUCCCCCGCAGCGCCCCAUCAGUCUGCCUUGCCAAGUGAGGGGCUGCCCUUGCAGGACUUACCUCUAUGUGCCUCUGAACGGCACACAGCCCAUCCGCUGCCGAUGUAAGCACUUUGCCGAUCAACACAGUGCAGCGCCUGGCUUUGUAUGCAGUGCCUGUUCUAAGUGUUCGGGAUUUCAUAGUUGCUUCACUUGUGCUUGUGGUCAGCCUGCAUAUGCUCAUGACACAGUAGUGGAAACUAAGCAAGAAAGACUGGCGCAGGGAAAACCGGUGGGGCAGGACGUUCCUUAUGCAGCAAUGGGAGGACUGACUGGCUUCAGCUCGCUGGCAGAAGGCUACAUGCGAUUAGAUGACAGUGGAAUUGGUGCACCGUCAGCUGAGUUUUUAGACUCUCCAGGUACAGCCAUGGACCACCCAUUUCUAAAGGCAUUUCAAGCAUCAUCUAGCUCUUCUCCAGAAACACUAACAGGUACAAGUAGUCAAGUUUCUUCCUUAAGGAAACCGGAAGAGGAUGAUAUGGCUUUCUUUGAAAGACGAUACCAGGAGAGGAGUACAUCUUGUGAAAUGCUGGACUGGAUGAAGCAUAAGCUGGAAUCAAGAUUUCCAGGAGAAAUAUCAGUAACCUCAGAUAUGCAGAUGACACCACCUUUAUGGCAGAAAGCAAAGAGGAACUAAAGAGCCUCUUAAUGAAAGUGAAAGAGGAGUGAAAAAGCUGGCUUAAACCUCAACAUUAAAAAAAUGAAAAUUUUUAAUUAAGUAGCAAGUAUCCUUUUUAAUCUGACUUUACAUCAGAAUCUAUUUUGUCCUGACAUGGAAGUUUCUAAGGGCUACUUCUAGGUAAAAAUAAACACACUAAAAUGUACAAAUAAUUCCAAUUAUGGAAAGACAUUAAGCAUAUAUAUCUGGACAGCAUAUUAAAAAGCAGAGACAUCACUUUGCCGCAAAGGAUAGUCUAGUCAAAGCUAUGGUUUUUCCAGUAGUCAUGUAUGGAUGUGAGAGUUGGACUGUAAAGAAGGCUGAGCACUGAAAAAUUGAUGCUUUUGAACUGUGGUGUUGGAGAGUCCCUUGGACUGAAAGGAGAUUAAACCAGUCAAUCCUAAAGGAAAUCAGUCCUGAAUAUUUAUUGGAAGGACUGAUGCUGAAGCUGAAACUCCAAUACUUUGGCCGCCUGAUGCGAAGAACUGACUCACUGGAAAAGAUCCCAAUGCUGGGAAAGAUUGAAGGCAGGGGGAGAAGAGGACGACAGAGGAUGAGAUGGUUGGAUGGCAUCACCGACUUGAUGGACUUGAGUUUGAGCAAGCUCCAGGAGUUGGUGAUGGACAGGAAAGCCUGGCGUGCUGCAGUCCAUGGGGUUGACAAAGACUCAGACAGGACUGAGUGACUGAACUGAACUGAACUGAGAUAUUCAGUGAACCAGUGAAGUUGCUCAGUCGUGUCCAACUCUUUGUGACCCCAUGGACUGUAGCCUACCAGGCUCCUCCGUCCAAAGGAUUUCCCAGGCAAGAGUACUGGAGUGGGUUGCUAUUUCCUUCUCCAGGGGAUCUUCCUGACACAGGGAUCGAACCUGUGUCUCCUGCAUUACAGGCGGUGGCUCAGCAGUAAAGAAUCCAUGGGGUCACAGAGAGUAUAUACCUUAUUGGGCAGCACAGAAAGUUCUUUUGGAAAAUGCUGAUCUAAGAAAAAGAAGUGGUGGUAGAAUCUCAGGGGGAAAGAUGAAAUGGGCAGAGUGAGAAAAGGAGAGACUAUUAUUGCAGCAUCAUCAAGGAUAAACUUUUAAUCAAAUCAGUGUUCUUGGAAAACACACAGUCACAACCGAGCUUUAGUGUUUCCUCAUAAGCUUAUGAGGGGCAGCGUUCUAAAUUCCUUCUUUCCCUC